rnacentral:rRNA from 1 species
AUUAAACGCUGGCGGCGUGCUUAACACAUGCAAGUCGAACGGUAACAGGCGUAGCAAUACGUGCUGACGAGCGGCGAACGGGUGAGUAAUGCUUCGGAAUCUUCCUCGUAGUGGGGAAUAACCUGGGGAAACUCAGGCUAAUGCCGCAUACGAACCAUGGUUGAAAGCGGGGGAUCGCAAGACCUCGCGCUAUAAGAUGAGCCGAAGUCGGAUUAGCUAGUUGGUGGGGUAAAGGCCUACCAAGGCGACGAUCCGUAGCUGGUCUGAGAGGACGACCAGCCACACGGGGACUGAGACACGGCCCAGACUCCUACGGGAGGCAGCAGUGGGGAAUAUUGGACAAUGGGGGCAACCCUGAUCCAGCGACGCCGCGUGUGUGAAGAAGGCCUGCGGGUUGUAAAGCACUUUUAGUGGGGACAAAAAGCCGAGGGCUAAUACCUUUCGGUCUUGAUUUAACCCAAAGAAAAAGCACCGGCUAACUCUGUGCCAGCCGCCGCCGUAAAAC